AUAGAAUUACCAUUAGCACAAAGUCAUGUCGUGGCAGCUAAAAAAUACUGUUACAAAUACCAAAGCAUUUGGUAUUACAAUUUACAUACUCUAAUCUGUCAUUUUCGAUUUUUAGUAUUCCCCAAUUCAAUUCACUAUUUGAGUGAAAAACACUAUUACUUUCCCCCAUUUCCUAUCCUCAUUCUGAAGCUGUAAAUUUUGUAGCAUCACCUUCUAUGUGCAAUUUGUGUCAUAGCUAGCGAGUCCCAACAAUUCUGGUCCUUCCAUUCUAGGGUUAUUCUCAAAGUUGUUUAAAGGUAUGUGCUCAAAUGGUCCACUAGUUGGUAUUGUUCCACACAAGUCAUUAUUUGAGACAUCCACAACUUUAAGGCUUGUAAUUCCAGUAAGUUCUCUUGGGAUUGGUCCAUUUAAUCGGUUAUCAUUAAGCCGUAAGAACACAAGAGAUUUCAAUUUUCCCAAAGAAACUGGAAUCCUUCCAGUGAUGUUGUUGUUAUACAGGUCCAAACUGAUGAGGCUCUUCAAGUUUCCAAGCUCAUCUGGAAUAGUUCCAUGGAUAUUGUUUUUGUAAAGUUCCAAAUACUGCAGGUGCUCGAGCCUUCCAAGUUCAGGAACAAGAUGUCCAGACAAA
rnacentral:misc_RNA from 1 species